rnacentral:rRNA from 1 species
AUUGAACGCUGGCGGCAUGCCUUACACAUGCAAGUCGAACGACAGCAUAGGAGCUUGCUCCUGAUGGCGAGUGGCGAACGGGUGAGUAAUAUAUCGGAACGUGUCCUAGAGUGGGGGAUAACUAGUCGAAAGAUUAGCUAAUACCGCAUACGAUCUACGGAUGAAAGUGGGGGAUCGCAAGACCUCAUGCUCCUGGAGCGGCCGAUAUCUGAUUAGCUAGUUGGUGGGGUAAAAGCCUACAAAGGCGACGAGCAGUAGCUGGUCUGAGAGGACGACCAGCCACACUGGGACUGAGACACGGCCCAGACUCCUACGGGAGGCAGCAGUGGGGAAUUUUGGACAAUGGGGGCAACCCUGAUCCAGCAAUGCCGCGUGAGUGAAGAAGGCCUUCGGGUUGUAAAGCUCUUUUGUCAGGGAAGAAACGGUUCUGGAUAAUACCCAGAGCUAAUGACGGUACCUGAAGAAUAAGCACCGGCUAACUACGUGCCAGCCGCCGCCGUAA